UUUGGGGUGUGACUGCGUACCUUUUGUAUAAUGGGUCAGCGACUUAUAUUCUGUAGCAAGGUUAACCGUAUAGGGGAGCCGGAGGGAAACCGAGUCUUAACCGGGCGUUAAGUUGCAGGGUAUAGACCCGAAACCCGGUGAUCUAGCCAUGGGCAGGUUGAAGGUUGGGUAACACUAACUGGAGGACCGAACCGACUAAUGUUGAAAAAUUAGCGGAUGACCUGUGGCUGGGGGUGAAAGGCCAAUCAAACCGGGAGAUAGCUGGUUCUCCCCGAAAGCUAUUUAGGUAGCGCCUCGUGAAUUCAUCUCCGGGGGUAGAGCACUGUUUCGGCUAGGGGGCCAUCCCGGCUUACCAACCCGAUGCAAACUGCGAAUACCGGAGAAUGUUAUCACGGGAGACACACGGCGGGUGCUAACGUCCGUCGUGAAGAGGGAAACAACCCAGACCGCCAGCUAAGGUCCCAAAGUCAUGGUUAAGUGGGAAACGAUGUGGGAAGGCCCAGACAGCCAGGAUGUUGGCUUAGAAGCAGCCAUCAUUUAAAGAAAGCGUAAUAGCUCACUGGUCGAGUCGGCCUGCGCGGAAGAUGUAACGGGGCUAAACCAUGCACCGAAGCUGCGGCAGCGAACGUAUCACUUAAAGCGAUUCAGCGGGUUACGAUUGACGGAGCGAAGCGACGUCAAAGCGUAUACAAAGUCGAGUCGGUUUAAGGAUACGUUCGUUGGGUAGGGGAGCGUUCUGUAAGCCUGUGAAGGUGGCCUGUGAGGGUUGCUGGAGGUAUCAGAAGUGCGAAUG
rnacentral:rRNA from 1 species